CACGUAGGGCGCAAGCGUUGUCCGGAAUUAUUGGGCGUAAAGAGCUCGUAGGCGGUCUGUUGCGUCCGCUGUGAAAACUCGGGGCUUAACCCCGAGCCUGCAGUGGAUACGGGCAGACUAGAGGUAGGUAGGGGAGAAUGGAAUUCCCGGUGUAGCGGUGAAAUGCGCAGAUAUCGGGAGGAACACCGGUGGCGAAGGCGGUCUCUGGGCCUUACCUGCGCUGAGGAGCGAAAGCGUGGGGAGCGAACAGG
rnacentral:rRNA from 1 species